rnacentral:rRNA from 1 species
AUGAACGCUGGCGGCGUGCCUCAUACAUGCCAGUCGAGCGCACAGAAGGAGCUUGCUCCUCUGACGUUAGCGGCGGACGGGUGAGUAACACGUGGAUAACCUACCUAUAAGACUGGGAUAACUUCGGGAAACCGGAGCUAAUACCGGAUAAUAUAUUGAACCGCAUGGUUCAAUAGUGAAAGACGGUUUUGCUGUCACUUAUAGAUGGAUCCGCGCCGCAUUAGCUAGUUGGUAAGGUAACGGCUUACCAAGGCAACGAUGCGUAGCCGACCUGAGAGGGUGAUCGGCCACACUGGAACUGAGACACGGUCCAGACUCCUACGGGAGGCAGCAGUAGGGAAUCUUCCGCAAUGGGCGAAAGCCUGACGGAGCAACGCCGCGUGAGUGAUGAAGGUCUUCGGAUCGUAAAACUCUGUUAUUAGGGAAGAACAAAUGUGUAAGUAACUAUGCACGUCUUGACGGUACCUAAUCAGAAAGCCACGGCUAACUACGUG